rnacentral:tRNA from 1 species
AGUAAGGUAAGCUAAAUUAAGCUCUUGGGCCCAUGCCCCAAAUAUGUGGGUUAAAAUCCCUCCCUUCCUA